rnacentral:rRNA from 1 species
ACCCUUUAAUGUUUGAUGUUCUAACGUGGACCCGUGAUCCGGGUUGCGGACAGUGUCUGGUGGGUAGUUUGACUGGGGCGGUCUCCUCCUAAAGAGUAACGGAGGAGCACGAAGGUUGGCUAAUCCUGGUCGGACAUCAGGAGGUUAGUGCAAUGGCAUAAGCCAGCUUGACUGCGAGCGUGACGGCGCGAGCAGGUGCGAAAGCAGGUCAUAGUGAUCCGGUGGUUCUGAAUGGAAGGGCCAUCGCUCAACGGAUAAAAGGUACUCCGGGGAUAACAGGCUGAUACCGCCCAAGAGUUCAUAUCGACGGCGGUGUUUGGCACCUCGAUGUCGGCUCAUCACAUCCUGGGGCUGAAGUAGGUCCCAAGGGUAUGGCUGUUCGCCAUUUAAAGUGGUACGCGAGCUGGGUUUAGAACGUCGUG